rnacentral:rRNA from 1 species
AUGAUGAGAAGCAGCGCCGUCGCUUCUGAGGAGCCGCCGGCCGUUCUUCUUCCUCCACCGACGACACGUGUACCUCCAGAUCUCAACAAGUUUAAGGGGCAUGGCAUGUUGGCACCAUUCGCUGUUGUAUGGCAGAGCAAUGAUGUGCAUCCAUUGGUUAUUGAGAGAUUUGAGGGUUCUUAUGUUUAUGACAUCAAUGGGAAUAAAUAUCCAGAUUCUCUAGUAGGACUGUGGUAUACAACUUUAGGUAUGUAA